rnacentral:misc_RNA from 1 species
GAUGAAGAACGUAGCGAAAUGCGAUAAGUAAUGUGAAUUGCAGAAUUCCGUGAAUCAUCGAAUCUUUGAACGCACAUUGCACCCCCUGGUAUUCCGGGGGGCAUGCCUGUCCGAGCGUCAUUGCAACCUUCAAGCGCGGCUUGUGUGUUGGGUCUCGUCCCCCGUGGACGGGCCCGAAAGGCAGUGGCGGCGUCCCGACAUGGUGCCCGAGCGUAUGGGAAUCCUCUUCCGCUCGAAUCGGCCCAUGCGGCGCUGGUCGUAACCAAAUUUUUUACCGGUUGACCUCGGAUCAGGUAGGGAUACCCGCUGAACUUAAGCAUAUCAAUAAGCGGAGG